rnacentral:rRNA from 1 species
UACGGGGGGGGCAAGCGUUGUUCGGAAUUACUGGGCGUAAAGGGCUCGUAGGCGGCCAACUAAGUCAUACGUGAAAUCCCCCGGCUUAACCGGGGAACUGCGUCUGAUACUGGAUGGCUUGAGUUCGGGAGAGGGAUGCGGAAUUCCAGGUGUAGCGGUGAAAUGCGUAGAUAUCUGGAGGAACACCGGUGGCGAAGGCGGCAUCCUGGACCGAUACUGACGCUGAGGCACGAAAGCGUGGGGAGCAAACAGG